rnacentral:rRNA from 1 species
AAGAGAAAUCAAUAAAGCUUUGUUAGACACAAUCAUAUAGCAUCAAGAAGGAUAGAAGAGAAUGUGUACAAGUCAAGUUAGGACUCAGAAUUCAAGUUACCCCGCUGAAACUUAAGCAUAUCAAUAAGCGGAGGUAAAAGAAACUAGAGACUACAGGAUUCCCCCUAGUAACUGCGAGUGAAGCGGGAAAAGCUCAAAUUUAAAAUCUGGUGGUCUUUGGCCGUCCGAGUUGUAAUUUAGAGAAGCGUCUUCCGCGCUGGACCGUGCACAAGUCUCCUGGAACGGAGCGUCGUAGAGGGUGAGAAUCCCGUCUUUGGCAUGGACACACCAGGGCUUUUGCGAUGCGCUCUCGAAGAGUCGAGUUGUUUGGGAAUGCAGCUCAAAAUGGGUGGUGAACUCCAUCUAAAGCUAAAUAUUGGCGAGAGACCGAUAGCGAACAAGUACCGUGAGGGAAAGAUGAAAAGCACUUUGGAAAGAGAGUGAAACAGUACGUGAAAUUGUUGAAAGGGAAACGCUUGAAGUCAGUCGCGUCGUCCGAGACUCAGCCUCGCCUCGGCUUGGCGUACUUCUCGGCCCGACGGGUCAGCAUCAAUUUCGCCUCUCGGAUAAUGGCGAGGGAAAAGUGACACCUUUACGGUGUGUUAUAGUCUUUCGUCGCAUGCGAGGGUCGGGAUUGAGGAACUCAGCACGCGCCCUCGGGCGUCGGGGUCUUUGCCCACGAUACGUGCUUAGGAUGUUGGCGUAAUGGCUUUAAACGACCCGUCUUGAAACACGGACCAAGGAGUCUAACAUGCCUGCGAGUGUUCGGGUGGAAAACCCGUGCGCGCAAUGAAAGUGAAAGUUGGGACCUCCGUCGUGGAGGGCACCGACGCCCGGACCAGACCUUCUGUGACGGCUCUGCGGUAGAGCAUGCAUGUUAGGACCCGAAAGAUGGUGAACUAUGCCUGAAUAGGGUGAAGCCAGAGGAAACUCUGGUGGAGGCUCGUAGCGAUUCUGACGUGCAAAUCGAUCGUCAAAUUUGGGUAUAGGGGCGAAAGACUAAUCGAACCAUUCUUUGUAGCUGGUUCCUGCCGAAGUUUCCCUCAGGAA